rnacentral:sRNA from 1 species
UUCAGUAAUGAAAAUAAAUAAACUUUCAAGUCAUGAGAAGAUAUGGAUAGGCUUAAAUCCAUAUUACCAAAUGCAAGAAACUAAGUGGGAACUAUAGGAUUCUAACACUAUGACAUUCAAAAAAAAAAAAAGGCAAAAUUAUGAAAGUGUAAAAGAUCAGUGGUUUUCAGGGGUUUCCAUGUGGAAAGAGAUGAAUGGAUAUAUGGAGUUUAGAAAAUUUUAGGGCAACAAAACUAUUCAGUGAGGUGCCAAAAUGUCAUUAUGUAUUUAUCAACACUCACAGAACAUGCAACACAAGAGUAAUCCUUAGUGUAAAGCAUGAAGCACGGGCGAUUUUUACAUGUCAAUGCAGGCUCAUUGAUCAUAAAACCUGGACUAUGCUGGUGGGGAAUGUGGGCAGCAGGAGACCAUGUGAGUAUAGGCAGAAGCUAUAAGGAAAUAACUCAUUCUUCCUGCUUGAUUUUGCUUCUAACAGAAUUUGUAUUAAUGUGGGGGCUUAAAAAACCCUCCACAUUCUCUUCUAUGUUUUUGGAAGAAAUCAUAUCUCCUCAUAAGUGAGGGUAAGAGGAGAAAAUGAACACUCCAGUUCUUUAUGGUCUGUCCAUUGCCCAUUCAACAAGGAGGGCUAAUCAGGAGAAAAGUAGGAUGUGUGUACCUACGGUUGUGUGGGAAAGUGCUGAAGCCAUGGACUGGAAUAAUCAGGGCAAUCAGGGUCCUAUUUACAGCAAGUUGUGACCUAUUUCUUAAGCAGCAAUUCCUAGCUAGUCUUCUUCAAUCUGCCUUCAUGAGAGAUGCCUGGGAAUUUACCAUGGUAGAAGGAAGACUUGAGUCUUCCCCAACUCUCUACAUCAAGUUCUUGGGUUUGAACACUCUCAUGCCUCUGGAGCAUUCAGGCAGUGGGUCAGGAUAUGCCUCAAAAGCCUUUAGAGGUGGAAGUCUGAACAGGCUGUAGACCAAGAGUCAAGAAAUACGCAGAAUGUGAAAGCUAGAGGACCAGGUCAUGUGAGUAGUCUAGGCAAUGGAUGGGAGGGGGAAGCUGUGAGCAGCAUUGAAGCUUCAAAGUGACUUCCUUCUAGACAGGAACUUAGCAUGCAGCUGAGAUCAGUGUUCUAUAGAAGACAUAACUUACCUCGAGGCUGUAUUUUUUGGUGUCAUGUUUUUGGAGCAAGCUUCAUGGCACUUGCCAAACCCUUUGGGGGUCUGGCAUGUUAGGAAAAAGAAGUUAGGACCAGGAGAAGUAGGAAGCUUGAACUUAGAGUUCAGGAUGGCACAGACUCAACACCUGAACACAUAACAGGAAAAACAAAACAAAACAAAACAAACAAACAAACAAAAAAACAAGUUUCCUCCAAAUCAUUGAGGAAGUCAGCUGUUGAGUGGAGAAUCUUUCCUCACCGGAAGGAGGAAAGCCAGUUGAGAUAGCCAAGGAUGCAUGGUAUUCUGCAAAAUCCCACUACAACAUUGUGCCUAUUACUCCAAGAAAUUGCUUCUGUUUCCUCCUGUUCUGGUAGGAUUUACGAGCCAUCUAAACCUUCCCUUUGGUAUAGCUUGUGAAUAUUUUAAGAGAACAUCUGUUGAUACUUAACAUGAAUGAAAACAAAAAGAUUGGCUUAGUUUGUGGGCAGUCAUGAAAGCAUCAGCAGCAUUUACAUUGCACGGAAGAAGCAGUUAUUUGUCGGGUUAGUGUUUGCUGAGCAAUUUAACUGUAACAGUAAUAGUUUUACUGACUGUGAAAAUAACAACAACCACAACAACAAUAAUAAUAACAACAAAUAUGUUAAUUGUUACUGAGUCUCUCAGCUAGGAUCAAAUGUUUGAUGCUGUACAGAUCUAGCCAAGGGAAAAAAUUUCUGGAUUCUUCUUUGGCUUUCCAGGUUUAUUUCCUCUCUGUUAUAACCCACUGAAAGUACAGGGUCACUGUGAGCACACACGCUAGUGUAAAAAACUUUAAAUGUCACCAAGGUGCCUAUUUUAGAGGAGGGGGUAUCUUUGAAUUGUAUUUGAAUGGCAUUAUGAAAGUUUGCAUCUGUUGCAAGUUUAAAGUUUAAAGUUGAGAGUAGAGUGGGGAUAAGGCACAGGGUUAAGGCUAAUACUAGGCUAAAGGUAGCCUGGACACUUGGUAGGAGUUCUCUGGUCAUCCUUAAAAACAAAAAUCAUGUAAAUGAAAACAUUUGCAAACUGCACGGGACAAUUAGAUUCCAAAAGAUUCUUAUUCCAGGUGACCAAGGGCGGAUACUGACACGAGUGGAUGAAGCAACUAAGCCCCAAGAGUGAGUUAUUAACAGGCUGCCAGUGUGUGUGGCAGUAAGGUGUGGCCGUUGAGAAAUUGCUGUUCUUUGCAGCCAUUCAAGCCAGGAAACUAAGCAGGAAUGACAGCUGGAGUGAAUGAACAGAGACACAAAGUAGUACGCCACAUGGGAGGCAGAGGAAAUCGGGUUUCAUUCAUGAAGUCUCUCCUAAACAUUUGCUGAGUGGCUGUUAUACAUCAGGUACUCAGUAGGUAUCGGGAGGACGAAGAUAAAAACCCAGAUACCUGGUUCCAUUUGGCUUACAGCAUCAUGGGUCUGCUGGAAUACAUACCCCUUUGGGGCCAAGUCACACUUGCCAGGUCAUUACCUCGACACCAUCGGGCCUCCCUCCCAGUAGAUGACUAAUUGAGAUGUAUUGCAUGAAAGAGUAAAUUUAUGUUUAACCAGUGGGAAAGACAGUCAUCUGGUAAACCACAGGUCCUGUAAUCCAGCCCAAGGCUGAUUCAUUUCUUCUUGGACCCUGGACAGGAGCUGUCAGAGAUCCACUUUCUGCUGAAGACUCCAUCUCUCUGGAGGCCUGUUUCCCUGGUGUGCUGUUUUAGGAGCGAGCUAAGUGGUGGCUGAAGAGCCAAGUCUCACAAGUCAGACGGGCUGGAGGUCCUAGCUGCAGACAAGAGGAUCCACUCUGGUGAGUUUGAGUAGUUGGGAUUUAUUAACAAUAGACCCAAAGUGCAUUUGAUAUUUGUUUUUACUAGAGCAUUAUUGCUCAAUAGUUCAUAAAGUUAUUGAACAGGUUGAAUAAACAGUGUCUGGGGCAAGAAGUUGGGAAGAUCGCCCUGCAAAGCACAGCACAGAACCAGGCCACCUAAGGAGCGGCGGAGUGAGGGAACCACAGUCACGUAAAGCAGAAUGAACCAAGCCAGAACUAACUCUAUCCUUACCACACACAAGACAAAACAAAACAAANCAAAAACAAAACAAAACCCCCAGUGCCUGCAUUUGUGCGGAACUGUAAAACCUCACUGCCUUUAGAAUCGAGGAACACAAAAAUUGAUUUCACUUCUUCAUGGGAAGAGCUGUUAAGCCCCAGGAAAGGGCAAGGAACCAGGAGAGGGUGAAGAUGCCAGGCCAAUUUCCCCGUCUAUAACACGAGGAAGACCAAGGCAGCAGGGAGCUGAGUUAGUUUUGAAGCCUUGUGUGUGUGACAGGGUGACAGGUGAGUGAGCAGCUGUAGGAAGGUAAUCCAGGGACAAGAAUAAUAGCAUUCACAAACACACAAGGCCUCAUCUGGAGUGGUUCCUUAUGGGGUACACUGUGUGAAGGUGAGUCAAUGUACAUCCAGUUGUUAAUUCUGUAAUUGCAGAGAGCUAAAUGAUUGCAGGUUCUUGGUAUUGUUAUUUCUAUGGCCCAUCACUGGUUUCAUGUUUUGUAAAUAUUCAUUCUUCCUCACUUGUCCCAGGCAAUGUUGAAUUGUAUCUGAUUGGCUGUAAUAAAGAUCGGACAACCACUAGCUGGGCAGAAAGUGGAGGGUGGCUCUUCUAGGCUCUAGAGGGAUGCUAGAAGAAUAAAGGGAUAGGAGGUGUGAGGUUCAGCCAGCAAACACAGAGGUAAAUGGGGAGACCAGAGCAGAGAAGGGAGGUAGAGCUGGCCACUGAUGGGAUGUGGUGUCAGGAUUAGUCGGUUUAGAGAGUAACUAUGAGACUGCCUUAGCUGAAAGGCCCAAGUUUGAAAAUAUUAAAAAGUCUCACAUCAUUAUUAAUAUCGCUGGUAGGUCUGAGAUAGUCCCGCUAUAUCUUUAUGUUUACAGCAUUUAGAGUUUAAGAUGGGAGUAACAGUUGAGGUAAAUAGUUAAGUGAGGAGUCAGAUCAUGAUGGCUCUCAUUAUAGCUAGGAAAAUGCCCUGCUUUCUCCAGACAGUAGUUACAGAACACUUCUAACAUCAAAUGCAUGCGUUUUUUUUCCACAUUAGGUAUUUCUCCAGCUCUCUGGACACUGUCCGAUAACUCAGUUACAAUAGUAGUCAUGUGUUGUUGAAAAAAAAACACAGGAGGCUAAGGCUUCAGUGUCCCAUUUCAGGCUCUAGUCACAAGUCCCAGGGUAGCACCUGCAGUGAUCACUCCUGCACAAGUGAGGGAUUCCCACCAACUGCUGCUUUGAGUUCUUGACUCACACAAACUACUUGUUACCUGGGGACAGGCAAAUGGUAGAGAUGCUAAGGGAAAGGCUCAGGGUGUGGCACUGCAUGAUGAAUCCAUAAUCUAUGAGGGUAUGCAAAUCUCUAAGAAUCUGAAUGAAAUUGCCAGUCUGGAAACUCUGUGUACUUCUAAUUUCAUGGAGGUGUCAUAAGACUGGCAUGAUUGAUCAUAUGAUUGGCCAUUUGGAGAUGGAACUCAAUGUCCCUGGAAAUUAGAGGUUGGAGCUCAAAGGACCAGUCCUUUAGUCCCAUGGCUGCAUCUUCUGGCGAUACUCUGGAAAUUCCAAGCAUUUGAGGGGCUUUUUGUAAGGCAGCAGAAAUGAAGAUAAAUAUACACUACAGUAUCAUAAUGAAGGAGCCUGGUUGUAUCCUAGUUAGUGGUGGUGUUGGAGGAGGGGCUUUAUGAACCUUGAGAAGUUAACAUCUGCAUCUGAAAGAAAUGAGAGGGCUCCCGGACUGGAGGACAACAGGGAAAAGCCUGUUAGAAACAAAGGUAGUACAAGGCACCAACAGUAAGUUGGGAAGAUGUGAGUUCAUUUCCCAGACACUGAAACUUGAUAGGAUGUGCUAUGAUUAGAUGUAGGGAUAUGAGGAACACAUUCAAGAUGCUGCCAUGUUUCUGGCUGACCAAUGGUGUGGAUGGUGAUUUAAAGACAAUAGAGGAGCCUUGGUGAGAAAGAGGAUUCAAGAUUUGGGUGGUUUGAGAUUGGGGUGCAGGAUAGAUAGAAUAAUGGCGCCUCAAAGAGACUCUCACAUAUUAUUACUGUAUUUGUCAAAUGAGACUUUGCAGCUAUGGUUAUGGGUUUUGAGUGGGAAGAUGGGUCUGGAUUAUCUGGGUGGACCCAAGGAAACCACAAAGGUCCUUUCGAAUGGGAGGGAAGAAGGCUCUAGGAGAUAAGACAAUAGAAAUUAAAGUUGGACUGAGUCAGACACAGCCCAGGCUACCCUGGAAAGUCAAAAUCAAAUAGAUUGUUCUAGGGAACUUCCAAAGAGGAUGUAGCUCUGUUGGAAUCUUCAUUUCAUCACACUGAGACUGACUCAUAGCCUUCAACUUGUAUUGUUUUAAGCUAAUGAGUAUAUGAUCUAUUCUAGAAGCAAAUUAAAAGAUAAUUCUAGAGGGUUGUGGGAAAUCCACUAGGAUGUACUUGACCUAAGGAUAAAACACCCACACUGGAGAUACAGACACUAAUGUGACUGGCUAAUGGCCUUGGAUUUCCCAGGAAGAUGGUAUGGACUCAGAGGGUUUAAUUCAGGAAGUUUGUUUGAGAGUAAACAGGG